rnacentral:rRNA from 1 species
UCCAGACUCCUACGGGAGGCAGCAGUGAGGAAUAUUGGUCAAUGGGCUUACGCCUGAACCAGCCAAGUCGCGUGAGGGAAGACUGCCCUAUGGGUUGUAAACCUCUUUUGUCAGGGAGCAACGCCGGCUACGUGUAGCCGGACUGAGAGUACCUGAAGAAAAAGCAUCGGCUAACUCCGUGCCAGCAGCCGCGGUAAUACGGAGGAUGCGAGCGUUAUCCGGAUUUACUGGGUGUAAAGGGAGCGUAGGUGGCAUGGUAAGCCAGAAGUGAAAACCCAGGGCUCAACUCUGUGGAUUGCUUUUGGAACUAUCAAGCUAGAGUGCUGGAGGGGUAAGCGGAAUUCCUAGUGUAGCGGUGAAAUGCGUAGAUAUUAGGAGGAACACCGGUGGCGAAGGCGGCUUACUGGACUGUACCUGACGCUGAGGCGCGAAAGCGUGGGUAGCGAACGGGAUUAGAUACCCUAGUA